GAUGAAGAACGUAGCGAAAUGCGAUAAGUAGUGUGAAUUGCAGAAUUCAGUGAAUCAUCGAAUCUUUGAACGCACAUUGCGCCCCUCGGUAUUUCGUGGGGCAUGCCUGUUCGAGCGUCAUUUAACCCCUCAAGCCUAGCUUGGUAUUGGGUGCUUGUCCCGCCUCUCGCGCGGCGACUCACCUCAAAGUCAUUGGCAGCCCGCAUCUCGCCGGCCGUGAGCGCAGCACAGACGCGCUCUUGGCAACGACGGAUCGGCUCUCCAAAAGCUUAUUUCAACCACUGACCUCGGAUCAGGUAGGGAUACCCGCUGAACUUAAGCAUAUCAAUAAGCGGAGGA
rnacentral:misc_RNA from 1 species